rnacentral:miRNA from 1 species
UAGGCAGUGCGCUGUAAGCUGGCUGCU